GACGAACGCUGGCGGCGUGCUUAACACAUGCAAGUCGAACGGAAAGGCCUGCUUUCCCUUGUGGAUUGCGGGUGCUCGAGUGGCGAACGGGUGAGUAACACGUGAGUGAUCUGCCCCCAACUUGGGUAUAAGCCUGGGAAACUGGUUCUAAUUCCCGAUAGGACUGCAGGGUGGUGCCUGUGGUGGAAAACGAUUUUCUAGUGGUUGGGGAUGAGCUCGCGGCCUAUCAGCUUGUUGGUGGGGUAAUGGCCUACCAAGGCGGCGACGGGUAGCCGGCCUGGGAGGGUGGACGGCCACAUUGGGACUGAGAUACGGCCCAGACUCCUACGGGAGGCAGCAGUGGGGAAUAUUGCACAAUGGGCGGAAGCCUGAUGCAGCGACGCCGCGUGGGGGAUGACGGCCUUCGGGUUGUAAACUCCUUUCGACCGCGAGGAAGCCACCUGGUUGGAAGGGUGGUGACGGUAGUGGUAGAAGAAGCACCGGCUAACUACGUG
rnacentral:rRNA from 1 species